rnacentral:tRNA from 1 species
GCCGACGUGGCGGAAUGGCAGACGCGAUAGAUUUAGGAUCUAUUGCCCGACAGGGUGUGGAGGUUCAAGUCCUCUCGUCGGCA